GAACACACAAGCUGCUCUACAGAGAGGCCCACGUGGUGAGGGCCUGAGGCCUUCUGCCAAGAGCCAUAGACCAAACAUUCUAGAACCUGUGACCAGAACUUGACCUGCCUCCCUCAACAACUCCAGCAGCAGCUACCACGCCCUGGGAAACCACCUUAAGUCCACAGGUGCAACUGAUGCUGGGUGGCCCCAACAGCAGGUUGAAAGGCUGCCAACUUGAAAAGAGGUGGGGAACCUACAGCCUUGGAGCUACAUGUGGCCUUCUGGAUCCUUGAAUGUGGCCUUUUGAC